CGUACACUCCUACGGGAGGCAGCAGUGAGGAAUAUUGGACAAUGGGUGGAAGCCUGAUCCAGCCAUCCCGCGUGCAGGAAGACGGCCCUAUGGGUUGUAAACUGCUUUUAUCUGGGGAUAAACCUACUUACGUGUAAGUAGCUGAAGGUACCAGAAGAAUAAGCACCGGCUAACUCCGUGCCAGCAGCCGCGGUAAUACGGAGGGUGCAAGCGUUAUCCGGAUUUAUUGGGUUUAAAGGGUCCGUAGGCGGACUGAUAAGUCAGUGGUGAAAUCCGACAGCUUAACUGUCGAACUGCCAUUGAUACUGUUAGUCUUGAGUAAGGUUGAAGUGGCUGGAAUAAGUAGUGUAGCGGUGAAAUGCAUAGAUAUUACUUAGAACACCAAUUGCGAAGGCAGGUCACUAAGUCUUAACUGACGCUGAUGGACGAAAGCGUGGGGAGCGAACAGGAUUAGAAACCCCGGUAGUCCCAU
rnacentral:rRNA from 1 species